rnacentral:rRNA from 1 species
UACGAAGGUCCCAAGCGUUAUCCGGAAUUAUUGGGCGUAAAGCGUCCGCAGGUGGACAUACAAGUCUGCUGUCAAAGUGCAGAGCUUAACUCUGUAAAGGCGGUGGAAACUGUAGGUCUUGAGUAUGGUAGGGGUAGAGGGAAUUCCCGGUGUAGCGGUGAAAUGCGUAGAUAUCGGGAAGAACACCAGUGGCGAAAGCGCUCUACUGGGCCAUAACUGACACUGAGGGACGAAAGCUAGGGGAGCGAAAGGG